UACGGGGGGGAGCAAGCGUUGUUCGGAUUUACUGGGCGUAAAGGGCGCGUAGGCGGCGCAACAAGUCACUUGUGAAAUCUCCGGGCUUAACCCGGAGCGGCCAAGUGAUACUGUCGUGCUAGAGUGCGGGAAGGGGCUACUGGAAUUCUCGGUGUAGCGGUGAAAUGCGUAGAUAUCGAGAGGAACACCUGCGGCGAAGGCGGG
rnacentral:rRNA from 1 species